GGGGGGGGGGGGGGGGGGCGGCAAGCCACCCUUGGUUUUACCGAUGUGUUUCUCCCUCCGGCCGCUAGGCGGCACAGUACAUAGAAUGUGGGUACGAGUCAGGAAGUCUCAAAUCCCACCUCAGGCCUUAUUCCUUGUGUGCUCCUGGACAAGUCACCGAACCCUGUCUGCCUCCGGUUCCUCGUCUGUAAAAUGAGCUGGAAAAGCAAGUGGCAAAACAGAGAUUUUUUACAGCGUUGGACAUGAUUGAAACUACUGAACAAUUCUCCCUCUAUAAAAUGAGGGAGUUGUGAUCUCUUGAACCCUUUCCGGGUCUGAAAUCCUACUUUUAAGGCCCCUGUGGGCGCCAGACUUCCCUUUGCCACUUCUCCCCCAAUGACCCCGCAAGGAGGUCCCACUGGCUGGGAUUCAGGCUUUCAACCCUGGCCCAGACUUCAUGGAGGAACAGAGAAUGGAACACAGAACAGGCUUGGAAGGGAUCAGAGACUCCCGCUCCAGACAGAAGGGAGAAUCGUGAAGCCACAAGCCUGAGAGCUUUUAAAUCUACUGCAGGAGAGAGGACCUGGGACAUCUAGGAAUCCUCCCUCCAGCCGCACAAUUCAAUAUACUCUAGUGGCCCCCUAUGUCCCUCUCUUGGGCAUCUUCACCAGCUGACUGGCUCUUCCUCUUUAAGUCAUCCAAUGAGCAGUUAGGUGGGAAAAUGGAUAGAACCUGGGCCAGAAGACCAGAAUUCAAAUCUGCCCUCAGAUAGGUACUAAGUUGUGGGACCCUGAGCAGGUCACUUCACCCUGUUUGCCUCAGUUUCCUCAUCUGUCAAAUGAGCUGGAGAAGGAAAUGGCAAACCAUUCCAGUAUCUCUGCCAAGAAAACCCAAAUGGGGCCACAAAGAAUGGGGCCCCACAAAACAACAAUAGUAGUCAUCCAGUGACUGGCCUCCUUACUUUUCCUCACUCAAGACACUCUGUCUCCUGAUUUAGGGUAUUUCCUCUGGCUGCCUCCAUGCCUAGGAUGCUCUCCCUCCUCAUCCCAGCCUCUUGGCCUCUCUAGUUUCCUUCUAAUCUCAACUAAAAUCCCACCAUCUACAAGAAGCCUUUCCUGAUCCCCCUUAAUGCUAGUGCCUGCCCUAUAAGAUUUGUCUCCAGUUUUUCCUGGAUCAGGAAGACCAGAAUUCAAAUCUGGUCUCAGAUACUUCCUAGCUAUGUGACCCUAGACAGGUCACUUCACUCUGUUUGCCUCCAUUUCCUCCUCUGAGAAAUGAGCUGGAGAAGGAAAUGGCAAACCCCUCCAGGAUCUUAGCCAAGGAAACCCCAAUUGGGGUCAGGAAGAGUGGGUCAGGACUGAAACCAGGGAAUAGCAUCUUGUUUGUCUCCCCUUAGUAGAUUGUGAGCUCCCUGAGGGCAGAGACUGUUCUUCUCUUUGUGCCCUCCAUUACUCAAUAAAUGCUCAACAACUUGAGAAGAGAUACCA
rnacentral:lncRNA from 1 species